rnacentral:rRNA from 1 species
CGGGGGGAGCAAGCGUUGUUCGGAUUUACUGGGCGUAAAGGGCGCGUAGGCGGCCACCGCAAGUCGACUGUGAAAUCUCCGGGCUUAACCCGGAAAGGUCAGCCGAUACUGCGGGGCUAGAGUGCAGAAGGGGCAACUGGAAUUCUCGGUGUAGCGGUGAAAUGCGUAGAUAUCGAGAGGAACACCUGCGGCGAAGGCGGGUUGCUGGGCUGACACUGACGCUGAUGCGCGAAAGCUAGGGGGAGCGAACGGGAUUAGAUACCCCGGUAGUCCUAGCCUUAAACGAUGAAUGCUUGGUGUCUGGGGUUUUAUAGUCCCCGGGUGCCGUCGCUAACGCUUUAAGCAUUCCGCCUGGGGAGUACGGUCGCAAGACUG